GACGAACGCUGGCGGCGUGCUUAACACAUGCAAGUCGAGCGGUAAGGCCCUUUCGGGGGUACACGAGCGGCGAACGGGUGAGUAACACGUGGGUGACCUGCCCUCAGCUCUGGGAUAAGCCUGGGAAACCGGGUCUAAUACUGGAUAUGACUCCAUGACGCAUGUUGUGGGGUGGAAAGCCUUGUGCGGCUGAGGAUGGGCCCGCGGCCUAUCAGCUUGUUGGUGGGGUGANGGGCCUACCAAGGCGACGACGGGUAGCCGGCCUGAGAGGGCGACCGGCCACACUGGGACUGAGACACGGCCCAGACUCCUACGGGAGGCAGCAGUGGGGAAUCUUGCGCAAUGGGCGAAAGCCUGACGCAGCGACGCCGCGUGAGGGAUGACGGCCU
rnacentral:rRNA from 1 species